rnacentral:rRNA from 1 species
GACAGAGGGGGCAAGCGUUGCUCGGAAUUACUGGGCGUAAAGCGCAUGUAGGCGGCAGCGCAAGUCGGGCGUGAAAUCCCACGGCUCAACCGUGGAAGUGCACUCGAAACUGCGCAGCUAGAGUCCUGGAGAGGAAGGUGGAAUGCUUGGUGUAGAGGUGAAAUUCGUAGAUAUCAAGCGGAACACCGGUGGCGAAGGCGGCCUUCUGGACAGUGACUGACGCUGAGAUGCGAAAGCGUGGGGAGCAAACAGG